GACACUGAGCUCAGCAGAGUGGUAAUGAGAUGAGUGGAGGUGGCGGUGAUGGAGGAGGGGGGGCUGCUGGUGAAGAUAAACAGCCGAGAGAGGAGCCUCUGAGCUGGAGGAACAUGGCGGCUCCGGCCCUGGACGCCUCCACCGCUUCGUCCCUCUGACCGACACACACUCACUCACACACACCCCGUCGACACUGACACACACUUUACGCACCGUAUGGCUCCACAACUCUCCGAGAGCACUAUAUGAUGAUGGAUGUUACCCAGGAUGCUUUGCAUAUGAGUUUGGUGACUGAAAAAGCUGUGUGUUUCUGAGAAAAUGCUUUGUGACUGUAGUCUUUUCUUAUUCUUCA